rnacentral:misc_RNA from 1 species
CCCACAACAAUUAGGGAGAGAAAUUCAAUCAAAUCCCAUCACUACGCGCUCCAAAUCCCUCCCAAGUUCACUAAGUCCCCCAAUUUCUCAUUCAUUGUUUUAAAAACAGAGUAAAACGUGAGGCAUGCAACAGCAAGUGAAUCAAAUCCAAAUCUAUGCGCUGCUGAUUCGUAAGACACACUGUAUGGGCGAGAUGGCAAAGGGUAGCAGAAAUGGCAGAAUCAGGAGGAAUGGAGGGGGAAAGGAAAGAGAGGAGGGAAGGUGAAAGAAGAGAAAGAAGAUUUGUAGGUUUGCUUGGAUAUGCAAAAAAUUUGACACCAGCAAGGGUUGAAGUCCGAGACGGAAGAAAGGAGGCAAUAAAAAAAGGUCUGAGGAGGAGAAAGGGAAGGAGGGGUAGAUAAAGGGAUGAAAGAAAGGAGGUAUGCAAGGCUGUAUCUUGGGGCAGAUUUGCGGCUUAUGAGAGAAUGUAUCUUUUAAUUAAUAAAUCCUUGUGGAUACGCUGAUGACAUAAAAUGGAACAAAUGAGUUUUUUGGAUGUUAAAUUGAAGUUAAAUGAAUUAUAUGGAAAAAAAAUUAAAGUUAGAUG